rnacentral:piRNA from 1 species
GCCACAAUCGAUGGGUGCUCAGGGAUGG